GACGAACGCUGGCGGCGUGCUUAACACAUGCAAGUCGAACGGAAAGGCCCUGCUUUUGUGGGGUGCUCGAGUGGCGAACGGGUGAGUAACACGUGAGUAACCUGCCCUUGACUUUGGGAUAACUUCAGGAAACUGGGGCUAAUACCGGAUAGGAGCUCCUGCUGCAUGGUGGGGGUUGGAAAGUUUCGGCGGUUGGGGAUGGACUCGCGGCUUAUCAGCUUGUUGGUGGGGUAGUGGCUUACCAAGGCUUUGACGGGUAGCCGGCCUGAGAGGGUGACCGGCCACAUUGGGACUGAGAUACGGCACAGACUCCUACGGGAGGCAGCAGUGGGGAAUAUUGCAAAAUGGGCGGAAGCCUGAUGCAGCAUCUCCGCGUGCGGGAUGACGGCCUUAGGGUUGUAAACCGCUUUCGCCUGUGACGAAGCGUGAGUGACGGUAAUGGGUAAAGAAGCACCGGCUAACUACGUG
rnacentral:rRNA from 1 species